UGGGGAAUUUUGGACAAUGGGCGCAAGCCUGAUCCAGCAAUGCCGCGUGCAGGAUGAAGGCCUUCGGGUUGUAAACUGCUUUUGUACGGAACGAAACGGCUCUGGUUAAUACCUGGGGCUAAUGACGGUACCGUAAGAAUAAGCACCGGCUAACUACGUGCCAGCAGCCGCGGUAAUACGUAGGGUGCGAGCGUUAAUCGGAAUUACUGGGCGUAAAGCGUGCGCAGGCGGUUAUAUAAGACAGAUGUGAAAUCCCCGGGCUCAACCUGGGAACUGCGUUUGUGACUGUAUAGCUAGAGUACGGAAGAGGGGGAUGGAAUUCCGCGUGUAGCAGUGAAAUGCGUAGAUAUGCGGAGGAACACCGAUGGCGAAGGCAAUCCCCUGGGCCUGUACUGACGCUCAUGCACGAAAGCGUGGGGAGCAAACA
rnacentral:rRNA from 1 species